rnacentral:rRNA from 1 species
AGAGUUUGAUCCUGGCUCAGGAUGAACGCUGGCGGCGUGCCUAAUACAUGCAAGUCGAGCGAACAGAUAAGGAGCUUGCUCCUUUGAAGUUAGCGGCGGACGGGUGAGUAACACGUGGGUAACCUACCUAUAAGACUGGGAUAACUUCGGGAAACCGGAGCUAAUACCGGAUAACAUUUAGAACCGCAUGGUUCUAAAGUGAAAGAUGGUUUUGCUAUCACUUAUAGAUGGACCCGCGCCGUAUUAGCUAGUUGGUAAGGUAACGGCUUACCAAGGCGACGAUACGUAGCCGACCUGAGAGGGUGAUCGGCCACACUGGAACUGAGACACGGCCCAGACUCCUACGGGAGGCAGCAGUAGGGAAUCUUCCGCAAUGGGCGAAAGCCUGACGGAGCAACGCCGCGUGAGUGAUGAAGGGUUUCGGCUCGUAAAACUCUGUUAUUAGGGAAGAACAAAUGUGUAAGUAACUGUGCACAUCUUGACGGUACCUAAUCAGAAAGCCACGGCUAACUACGUG